GCUGCAUCUCAGUACUCAGUCCAAUACUGGCUGCGUCUCAGUACUCAGUCCAAUACUGGCUGAGUCUCAGUACUCAGUCCAAUACUGGCUGAGUCUCAGUACUCAGUCCAAUACUGGCUGUGCUCCAGAUAAAGUGGGGAGGUAAGGCAACCUUUCAAGACAUGAGAUGCAGUCCGGGACUAUAUUUUACACAAACAUAUCCCCUUGAGUUGGUUUAUGAAGACAAUGUGUGUGUAGUAUCAGCAGGAUAAAGAUUGUUUAUUAAGAGAACGUGUGUGUUGUAUCAGCAGGAUAAAGGUUGUUUAUUAAGACAACGUGUGUGUAGUAUCAGCAGGAUAAAGGUUGUUUACUAAGAGAACGUGUGUGUAGUAUCAGCAGGAUAAAGGUUGUUUACUAAGAGAACGUGUGUGUAGUAUCAGCAGGAUAAAGGUUGUUUACUAAGAGAACGUGUAGUAUCAGCAGGAUAAAGGGUGUUUAUUAAGAGAACGUGUGUGUAGUAUCAGCAGGAUAAAGGUUGUUUACUAAGAGAACGUGUGUGUAGUAUCAGCAGGAUAAAGGUUGUUUACUAAGAGAACGUGUGUGUAGUAUCAGCAGGAUAAAGGUUGUUUAUUAAGAGAACGUGUGUGUAGUAUCAGCAGGAUAAAGGGUGUUUACUAAGAGAACGUGUAGUAUCAGCAGGAUAAAGGGUGUUUACUAAGAGAACGUGUAGUAUCAGCAGGAUAAAGGGUGUUUACUAAGAGAACGUGUGUGUAGUAUCAGCAGGAUAAAGGGUGUUUACUAAGAGAACGUGUGUGUAGUAUCAGCAGGAUAAAGGUUGUUUACUAAGAGAACGUGUGUGUAGUAUCAGCAGGAUAAAGGUUGUUUACUAAGAGAACGUGUAGUAUCAGCAGGAUAAAGGGUGUUUACUAAGAGAACGUGUGUGUAGUAUCAGCAGGAUAAAGGGUGUUUACUAAGAGAACGUGUGUGUAGUAUCAGCAGGAUAAAGGUUGUUUACUAAGAGAACGUGUGUGUAGUAUCAGCAGGAUAAAGGUUGUUUACUAAGAGAACGUGUAGUAUCAGCAGGAUAAAGGGUGUUUACUAAGAGAACGUGUGUGUAGUAUCAGCAGGAUUAAGGGUGUUUACUAAGAGAACGUGUAGUAUCAGCAGGAUAAAGGGUGUUUACUAAGAGAACGUGUGUGUAGUAUCAGCAGGAUAAAGGGUGUUUACUAAGAGAACGUGUGUGUAGUAUCAGCAGGAUAAAGGUUGUUUACUAAGAGAACGUGUGUGUAGUAUCAGCAGGAUAAAGGGUGUUUACUAAGAGAACGUGUAGUAUCAGCAGGAUAAAGGUUGUUUACUAAGACAACGUGUGUGUAGUAUCAGCAGGAUAAAGGGUGUUUACUAAGAGAACGUGUAGUAUCAGCAGGAUAAAGGGUGUUUACUAAGAGAACGUGUGUGUAGUAUCAGCAGGAUAAAGGGUGUUUACUAAGAGAACGUGUGUGUAGUAUCAGCAGGAUAAAGGGUGUUUACUAAGAGAACGUGUGUGUAGUAUCAGCAGGAUAAAGGUUGUUUACUAAGAGAACGUGUGUGUAGUAUCAGCAGGAUAAAGGUUGUUUACUAAGAGAACGUGUAGUAUCAGCAGGAUAAAGGGUGUUUACUAAGAGAACGUGUGUGUAGUAUCAGCAGGAUUAAGGGUGUUUACUAAGAGAACGUGUAGUAUCAGCAGGAUAAAGGGUGUUUACUAAGAGAACGUGUGUGUAGUAUCAGCAGGAUAAAGGGUGUUUACUAAGAGAACGUGUGUGUAGUAUCAGCAGGAUAAAGGUUGUUUACUAAGAGAACGUGUGUGUAGUAUCAGCAGGAUAAAGGGUGUUUACUAAGAGAACGUGUAGUAUCAGCAGGAUUAAGGUUGUAUGGUGAGAGUGUAGCACAUGGGGGAUAUGGUAAACUUACUCCUCAGCCUGAAGUGUCCCCACUUGUGCAGCCGAGUUGUUAACGCUUCAAUGGCGCCGACUGGUAAGACGCUUCGGGAGGGCGGUCACGUGUGCUAGCCAAGCAGAUGUCCUGGGUUCGAGCGUCCGUGUGAGCCCGAUCAGGAGGAAGCGGUACUCGCUAAGUAAGCAGCGUCAGUUAUCAGUAUGCUGCUGUGACCUUGGUUUACCUCUAUGAACUGAACUGGAAUAGAAACGGAAUCAACUGUCAAAGGACUUCUGGCCUUUUCUCUGCUUAAAGCACAUGAUAUCAUAAUGUCUGGUAUGUGAAUAUUGAAUAAGAUAUUAUUUCAGAAAAUGUCAAGGUACAUGUAUAUAAGAAUAUUAUAUACUUUGAUGUGUCCAUCUAUUAAAUUAUAUGAACAACAGUGAACACUAACCUGGUGUUUGUUGGUUGAAGCCAAAAUAUUUACUUACUAAACAUCCUAUUUCUAUAUUGUGACUCGCAGUAAUAAUGUGAUUUAAGGUCAGAUUUGAUCGUGUACAUUCUUAUCCAAGUUGAACUGAGAUAACAGUCAUACUGCAUUGUAUAUUCAGCUUUAUGGUUUUAAUAAAAAUGUUGUCUUCUACCAUAUAUUCCUACAGCUACGGUUCCUCAGGCUACCACACAUUUUCUGUUGGUCCAGUAUGAUGUUGUGAGGGUAUAUGGAGACAGUAGGUUGAGGUAAACCCACUAUGACGGUAUAUGGAGACAGUAGGUUGAGGUAUACCCACUAUGAUGGUAUAUGUAGACAGUAGGUUGAGGUAUACCCACUAUGAGGGUAUAUGGAGAUAGUAGGUUGAGGUAAACCCACUAUGAGGGUAUAUGUAGACAGUAGGUUGAGGUAUACCCACUAUGAGGGUAUAUGGAGAUAGUAGGUUGAGGUAAACCCACUAUGAGGGUAUAUGUAGACAGUAGGUUGAGGUAAACCCACUAUGAUGGUAUAUGUAGACAGUAGGUUGAGGUAUACCCACUAUGAUGGUAUAUGUAGACAGUAGGUUGAGGUAUACCCACUAUGAGGGUAUAUGGAGAUAGUAGGUUGAGGUAAACCCACUAUGAGGGUAUAUGUAGACAGUAGGUUGAGGUAUACCCACUAUGAGGGUAUAUGGAGAUAGUAGGUUGAGGUAAACCCACUAUGAGGGUAUAUGUAGACAGUAGGUUGAGGUAAACCCACUAUGAUGGUAUAUGUAGACAGUAGGUUGAGGUAUACCCACUAUGAUGGUAUAUGUAGACAGUAGGUUGAGGUAUACCCACUAUGAGGGUAUAUGGAGAUAGUAGGUUGAGGUAAACCCACUAUGAGGGUAUAUGUAGACAGUAGGUUGAGGUAAACCCACUAUGAUGGUAUAUGUAGACAGUAGGUUGAGGUAUACCCACUAUGAGGGUAUAUGGAGAUAGUAGGUUGAGGUAUACCCACUAUGAUGGUAUAUAGAGACAGCAGGUUGAGGUAAACCCACUAUGAUGGUAUAUAGAGACAGCAGGUUGAGGUUGACCCAUUAUGAUGGUAUAUGGAGAUAGUAGGUUGAGGUAAACCCACUAUGAGGGUAUAUGUAGACAGUAGGUUGAGGUAAACCCACUAUGAUGGUAUAUGUAGACAGUAGGUUGAGGUAUACCCACUAUGAGGGUAUAUGGAGAUAGUAGGUUGAGGUAUACCCACUAUGAGGGUAUAUGGAGACAGUAGGUUGAGGUAUACCCACUAUGAGGGUAUAUGGAGAUAGUAGGUUGAGGUAAACCCACUAUGAGGGUAUAUGGAGAUAGUAGGUUGAGGUAUACCCACUAUGAGGGUAUAUGGAGACAGUAGGUUGAGGUAUACCCACUAUGAGGGUAUAUGGAGACAGUAGGUUGAGGUAUACCCACUAUGAGGGUAUAUGGAGACAGUAGAUUGAGGUAUACCCAUUAUGAUGGUAUAUGGAGACAGCAGGUUGAGGUAUACCCACUAUGAGGGUAUAUGGAGACAGUAGGUUGAGGUAUACCCACUAUGAGGGUAUAUGGAGACAGUAGGUUGAGGUAUACCCACUAUGAGGGUAUAUGGAGACAGUAGGUUGAGGUAUACCCACUAUGAGGGUAUAUGGAGACAGUAGGUUGAGGUAUACCCACUAUGAGGGUAUAUGGAGACAGUAGGUUGAGGUAUACCCACUAUGAUGGUAUAUGGAGACAGUAGGUUGAGGUAAACCCACUAUGAUGGUAUAUAGAGACAGCAGGUUGAGGUAAACCCACUAUGAUGGUAUAUAGAGACAGCAGGUUGAGGUAAACCCACUAUGAUGGUAUAUAGAGACAGCAGGUUGAGGUUGACCCAUUAUGAUGGUAUAUGGAGAUAGUAGGUUGAGGUAUACCCACUAUGAGGGUAUAUGGAGACAGUAGGUUGAGGUAAACCCACUAUGAGGGUAUAUGGAGAUAGUAGGUUGAGGUAAACCCACUUUGAUGGCAUAUGGAGACAGCAGGUUGAGGUAAACCCACUAUGAGGGUAUAUGGAGAUAGUAGGUUGAGGUAAACCCACUAUGAGGGUAUAUGGAGAUAGUAGGUUGAGGUAAACCCAAUAUGAGGGUAUAUGGAGACAGUAGGUUGAGGUAAACCCAAUAUGAGGGUAUAUGUAGACAGCAGGUUGAGGUAAACCCACUAUGAGGGUAUAUGGAGAUAGUAGGUUGAGGUAAACCCACUAUGAGGGUAUAUGGAGAUAGUAGGUUGAGGUAAACCCAAUAUGAGGGUAUAUGUAGACAGCAGGUUGAGGUAAACCCACUAUGAGGGUAUAUGGAGACAGUAGGUUGAGGUAAACCCAAUAUGAGGGUAUAUGUAGACAGCAGGUUGAGGGCUAUGUUAUGAAACUAGUUAGCCAGACUACUGAAAAGCCCACACUCGCUUUGUUUAGGGCCCUGGGCUGUUCAACUCUUUGUUUAGGGCCCUGGGCUGUUCAACUCUUUGUUUAGGGCCCUGGGCUGUUCAACUCUUUGUUUAGGGCCCUGGGUUGUUCAACUCUUUGUUUAGGGCCCUGGGUUGUUCAACUCUUUGUUUAGGGCCCUGGGCUGUUCAACUCUUUGUUUAGGGCCCUGGGUUGUUCAACUCUUUGUUUAGGGCCCUGGGCUGUUCAACUCUUUGUUUAGGGCCCUGGGUUGUUCAACUCUUUGUUUAGGGCCCUGGGCUGUUCAACUCUUUGUUUAGGGCCCUGGGCUGUUCAACUCUUUGUUUAGGGCCCUGGGUUGUUCAACUCUUUGUUUAGGGCCCUGGGUUGUUCAACUCUUUGUUUAGGGCCCUGGGUUGUUCAACUCUUUGUUUAGGGCCCUGGGCUGUUCAACUCUUUGUUUAGGGCCCUGGGCUGUUCAACUCUUUGUUUAGGGCCCUGGGCUGUUCAACUCUGGUCCUGGAGGGCCGAAACACUUCUGGUUUUCAUGCUUUCCUUCUAAUCAGCGACUGUUUCAGACCUGGGACAUCAGUUGCAGGAGCGGACUGGCCAUCUGGCAUUUCAGACAAAUGACGUGAGUAAGAGUUGAGAGUUAGUGGACAGGUAUGGUCUGUGUACCUCAACACAGGAAGCUUAUCAGAUAUGGUGGAAAAAAUGGUCACAGUUCCAGUCUGCUUAAGGGGUGGCUCUCCCAUAGGCACCAAUGCAUUAGCAGCUGGGUCUGGUCUGCUUAGUUCACUGACUGUAUAUGAGCUUACCUUCUCCAGCUUCACUGUUGAAGUCUUUAACCAAAGAGAGCCAGGCCCUUCCUUUAAUCAACUCCAAACAGGAAAUUGGUUCAGAGUAUCCUUUCUACUGCCAUCUGUGGGUGAUUGUGUGGUAGUUUUAUCUGAACCACAGUAAAUGCCCUCUAAACUGCCAUUUAGUUGGCAGUUCGUGACAGUUCAAGAUAUUACAAGAGGAAACAAUUAGGGAGGGAAAAUAAAUAACAUUGUAUACAACAAUAUCCAUUUAUUCUUUAAAUAUCUCAUAAAUACUUUGAUAUAGCUAUAUUUUAGAAUAGAUUGAGAACACAGGACAAGACAAUCAUUUGAAAUAAAUAUCUUAAGUAUAUAAUAGGAUAUAUUUCAGAGUCACACAGAGGA